CUUAUUUCUGAAAAGUCAAGCCCCAAAUCCUUUAAUAAUAAUUUGUCAUUACUUAGCUUCAUUAUACAAGAAAUCUUUGAAACAUUGAACUUAAUUUCCUUUGCCUCGACUUUCACUGUGACUCAAAUUUCCUUGCUUUCCCCCAUAGUCUUUCAACCAUGUCACUUGCCUCUGGGGUUUCAGUUUUCCCUGUGAACGGUACUCAGUUGCUGAGACGGGGGUGUGGAGAAAGCGUAGGCCAGAAAACCCCAGCAACCUCUAGCUAAUGCACGGGAGCCUUUAGCUUGGUGAUUACUACAAUUGUUGCUUAGUGGAACAGUGAGCCAUUAACUGGGUUCUUACCCCCCUAUUAGUAUUACCCUAUAAUUUAAUGAUAAUUAGAGUCCCAGAAACACAGACAUAGGAAACAAGUGGGCAAAAGAGGCAGAUGGCAGAGAGCAGCAGCAGCCAGGGGUUUUAAUUAAAGGCACAGCUUCCAGAAGGUGCAGGGCUAAGAAAGACAGUGGGAAGGGUCUGAGCUUGGAGCAAAGCAAUCAGGCAAAUGAUUAAGGGGAUUUUGCAUUGUAUUUUUGGCUUGGAGGUUGGGGGCUGCUGGAGCUGGUCUGAACUGGUUUGACAGCAAUGGGGAUUGAAAGAUCUUGAGAGGUGACUCCCUCUACCCCUCCCCCUUCUUCUCCCUUGAACUGUGGAGAAGAAGGUCUCACAGAAGUGUCUCCAAGGAGGUGCUUCUUGGUCUCACCUGGCUUCCACACCUGGGGCCCAGAGUAGACUGUUGAGUGUUUGUUGGAGCCAACAUCUUUUCUGUGGUGCCACUUCAACCACUCUGAGGAACUCACCAAAGGCUCAGGCCUGGAGAUGACCAUUCCCCAUUGGCUAUGCAUGUUACUAGGGAGUGUAGACCAAAGCAGUGUAUGAAGCUAGGACUGUACUAUGGCCUGGAUGUGGUUUGUUCCCCAGAGGUUCAUAUGUUGGAAGACUGGUCCCAGUGUAGUGAUGUUAAAAGGUGGUGGGACCUUUAUCGGAUAUCAGUGAGAGAUCAUUAAGUCAUUUAGGGUGUUCCCUCAGAAGAAAUGAAGUAAUUUUGUGGAACUUCAGUCUCUCUCUGGCUUCCUGUUCUGCUGCAUGACCUCUCCCUCUUACAAGUGCUCCUACCAUCAUGCUGUCUUCCAUGAAGCUAACAUUCAUUAGACCUUCACCAUUGCCAAGCUGAUGCUGGCACCAUACCUAUAAACCUCCAGACUAUGAGCUAAAAAAAAAUCUCUUCUCUUUAUACAGUGCACAGCCUCCAGUAUUUUGUUAUAGCAACAAAAGCUGAC
rnacentral:lncRNA from 1 species